UAUAUAGGGAAAGGUCUCUUAUGACUCUAACUUUCCACAAAGUGACUAUGCGCAUACUUAGAAAACCUACAAAUAAUUGUGUUUUCUCAAGGCAAGGGCUUUAGGGAAAACGGGAAGCCUGCCUGCUUUUACAAAUCUGGCCAAAGCACAGAAGCAGCCGGCUGGAAGGAACAGGUGGAAUGCAUUAAACCAAAGUCCUCACACCUGUUGUCGGAGGUCAGCAGUUCCUAACAGGAGUCACUUGAAGCUUCUGGGUAUUGAGGAAAAUGGCCGGGGGCUUCAGCCAGCAGAAGCUUUGGAAAGAAAACUCUUCUAAGCCCGUCCUUCCCAGGUCCUGCAUGCAGGAGCCUAGAACUGAGUGCUUCUGUGGAUGUAGGAAGGAAAUGGGGAGAUACGUUUCUGGCACCCCAAUAUACAGCCCUGAAGAUGUCUCUUAAAAAACUGGGAAAUCAAAUGAUGCCUAAUGGCAAAUAUUGGAAACAUUAUCAAGCUUCAGGGGUAAGAUCUAUUUUGAGUGCUUAUCCAUUCUUUAAUGUCCAUGGUUAGUAGAGAAAUCUAGGUCUCCUGUAGGAAUUUUGGAAGAUAUAACAGAAGAAAAGCCCAUCAUCUCUGCUUUGAGAAAACCGAUAGCUUUAUAUUUUAGAACUCUUUUCACAUACACAUCCCCACAUACACAACCACCCCCACAUACACAGACACACAUUCUGAUGCAUGUACAGUUUUGUAGAGCGUUGCUUUAUUUUUUAAAGAAAAACAUAAUUUAUCAGUUUCACCUAUUGUCUUACCGUUUUAGGUUCCUUUUGUGUCAUUAAUCACUGGGAUCUCAUUUUGCUGAAAUAAUAUUUUUAGACACCUGCCGUGGCUGCCUCUCACCUGAAUGGAUGAAUACAGAACAGGACACUUGGCGUAUUCAGAAUUUCACCUGUACCUGGGAUACAUCUGUCAGCAUCACCUGCGUGGGGCCCCCCCAGGCUCAGUUCUUCUGAAUUAUUAUUUUUCCUGCAACCUCAUGACAUCAUCUUUGGCACAUCCCUGCCACUCCUGCAUUUCUCUAGAGUAGGCCAUCCUAGCAAGGGACACACCAUAAUUCGACAUUUUGCAACCAGAUUUCUGAGAAAAGCCGGGUCAUUCAGCGAGAGACACAAGUCACCCGAAUCUCAUGAAUCUUUUUUAAAAAAUGGUAAUUUUGUAGUAAUUUCUGAAAAUUGAAAUAAUUUCUUUUCCUGGGUUUGCAACAGAUGCUUUUACAAGAAGAGUCCAUGUCUUGCUGGCCACGCUAUCUGCUGCUGGCUUAUUUCUUUUUACUCUUGAGCAGGAGUCAAGAGUGAUAGUUCCAAUUUUGGUUGUUUAAUAAAAUUGAUAUAUUUCUGCAAAAACAGUUCCUUCCAAGAGGAAGGGAAUACUGUAACAUAUAUGUGUAUUUCUGUAGUACAUAUAUAUUUUGUAAUUAACAUGUUGGCUUAGAAACGAAUGAAAUCACAAAAUACCAGGGGCAAUUGACCUGAACACCACUUAAUAAUAAAAAACCAACAUAUUAUUCUACAUUCUAUUGUGUAUUUUCCAAGUCCCAUAAAACCAAGACAUCACAUCAUUCUGGCAAAUCGCUGCCAAUAUAUCUCCCGAAGAGAUACCCUUCCUUUCAAUGUCUUCCUAUUGCUGAUUUAUUAAUCAUGAAGUCCAACAGGAAAUAGUCUCCUUACUUAAACACAUAGACAUAUACUGUGGAUUCAUUAGUCAUUCCAGUGCAUUGAAGCCACGCUCCCUGGCCUCAAGACAACCAAAGACAUUUAUUGUGUAUAACAUUGAAGCACAUCGUCUCACUGCCGUUAAGAAUUCCAAGACAAAAUUAAUGUUCCAAGGAGGGCAGCAUAUAAUUAGUCCCUUUAAGUUCACUUAACCAGCACAAAAUAAAUCCUCCCUUCAAUUAUGUUAAUGAAAGCACUAGGGGAUCAAACAUCCAGACUUUGCAAGGAAAUCUCAUCACAACAGAGGGCUGUCACCACCUCCUGAAGGCCUGUCGGCUCCUUCAGAGCUUCCCAGCAAUACCAACAUUAAUUUUGCCGUUGGUACCGAGUCCUUUCCGGCUGCCCCGGGUUGGCAUCAGCCUGCUAUCUGUCUUUUGAAACCAUUCAUGGAGAAAAGCAAAAUAACUUCCUGACUUUGAAAGAGUGGCCAUCUUGAGGUUUGUUUGAAACCAACAUGAGACGCAGCUCUUCUUCCCAAAUUGUGGCCAAUACAGACCUACCAAUGCUGGCGGAUGCUUGGUUCACCCCUCCGGAUUCUCCUCACCGGGUCAUUGCACGCAAAACCAGCUGCCGUGAGUACUGGCUGCCAAUCCC
rnacentral:lncRNA from 1 species